CCGGGUGUAGCGCAGUUGGUAGCGCGGGUGGUUUGGGACCACCAGGCCGCAGGUUCGAACCCUGUCACUCGGACCA
rnacentral:tRNA from 1 species